GAUGAACGCUGGCGGCGUGCCUAAUACAUGCAAGUCGAGCGAACAGACGAGGAGCUUGCUCCUCUGACGUUAGCGGCGGACGGGUGAGUAACACGUGGAUAACCUACCUAUAAGACUGGGAUAACUUCGGGAAACCGGAGCUAAUACCGGAUAAUAUAUUGAACCGCAUGGUUCAAUAGUGAAAGACGGUUUUGCUGUCACUUAUAGAUGGAUCCGCGCCGCAUUAGCUAGUUGGUAAGGUAACGGCUUACCAAGGCAACGAUGCGUAGCCGACCUGAGAGGGUGAGAGGCCCAAGUGGAAUGUAGACACGGCCCAGAUGCAGACGGGCGGCGGCAGGCGGGAAUAUUCGACAAUGGGCGAAGGCCUGACGAAGCAAAGACGAGGGAGUGAUGAAGGUCUUAGGAUCGUAAAACUCUGUGAUUAGGCAAGAACAAAAGGGCAAGUAACGCGCCGUGGCGGGACGGUACCUAAUCAGAAAGCGACGGCUCACUCCGUG
rnacentral:rRNA from 1 species